UUGGAGGGCAAGUCUGGUGCCAGCAGCCGCGGCAAUUCCAGCUCCAAUAGCGUAUAUUAAAGUUGUUGCAGUUAAAAAGCUCGUAGUUGAAUUUCGGGAUCAAUAUUUCGGUCAUGCCGUUGGUAUGCACUGUUAUCAUUGAUUUCUCACCUUCUAAAGAACCGUAAUGCCAUUAAUUUGGUGUUACGGGGAAUUAGGACUGUUACCUUGAAAAAAUUAGAGUGUUUAAAGCAGGCUCACGCUUGAAUACAUUAGCAUGGAAUAAUGAAAUAGGACAUCCGAUUCUAUUUUGUUGGUUUCUAGGAUCGAUGUAAUGAUUAAUAGGGAUAGUUGGGGGCAUUAGUAUUCAAUUGUCAGAGGUGAAAUUCUUGGAUUUAUUGAAGACUAACUACUGCGAAAGCAUUUGCCAAGGAUGUUUUCAUUAAUCAAGAACGAAAGUUAGGGGAUCGAAGACGAUCAGAUACCGUCGUAGUCUUAACCAUAAACUANNGCCGACUAGGGAUCGGAUGAUGUUAAUUUUUUAAUGACUCAUUCGGCGCCUUACGGGAAAC
rnacentral:rRNA from 1 species